rnacentral:lncRNA from 1 species
AGACCGAUCCUCGUCUGUGGACAGAGGAGUAGCUGACUCUGAAGCCCAGGCUGUUGCUAUCCAGUCUGGUGGUGAAUCCUCCACAGUCUGUUUAGAGCAAUUGGACGAAGUAUAUUUUUGUGAGCAAAUUUACCUUUCUCUCUGAAUUCUCCAAAAUUCAGAAACCAGGAAGUCUUUAAGACAGUUAUAGCAGGGAGCAGUUACAAUGUAAACAGAGGUGGUGCCUUGACAUUAUUGGUUCACCAACAGAGCAGAACUGCCUCAGCCAUCAAUAAUAAUUCAACGCAUCAGGAUGAGGCCUACGCAUGGGCCACAGAGGAUAUGUAAUGACUUAAGAUACCAACUCCACAUUCUGUGGUAAGAGAUGAAGAUCCAGGAAAUGUAUGGACACCUAUAGCCUGAAGAAUAUUGUCAGAAAAAAACACUGGGAUCUGGAAGCGAAAAGGAAACAUAGAAAACGAGACAGGAAGGUGAAGAAAGUUGAAGAUAAACUUUCUUUUUCACAAUGUUUUUAUGGACAAGUUCAGCCCAUAAAUCAAAAAUUACCUUUAUGGAUGAAAUAUUAGUUAAGUCAAGAUCAUCUUUUUCAUUUCCUACAUGCAGGUUGAAUCUCAUUUAUGGAGUGAGAUGUCAAAUAACAACAAAAAAUGCACUUAAUUUGCAUAAAGAUGCUUGUAAGGUAACAUUGCUCCACACUUUGCUUUAUUCACAUCAUUAGAGGAAAUAUCUUAUUCCUCUAGCUGUUUCUGGCCAUGGCUCAAGGAAUUAAAAACUUCCAUUCAUUCCUUCAGACAGUACAGUUAACAAGAGGAUAACUUUUUUUAUUAUCUCUGUCCUUCUCCCUCAGGAAGCAGAGAAUUAUCAGAUUGGUGAGAGAAAGGAAAUAAAGGUCUGAACAUGUGUCUCAAGUCACCUCUUUUGGGAGCACUCUGUUCUCAGUUUAUUUUAAUUCUGUUUCUCAAUUUAAUGAGUUUACUAGAGCAGGGUCCACUAUUACCCUGUGGAGAUCCUUAAUGAUACAUGGAUAUGUUUAAUUCUGGGAAUAAAGUAGUUAAACUGGCUAGUGAUUAUGCCACAUUGUUAGAGUCAUCUUUGUCAAUAAGAAAGUUGUUCAUAUUUAUGACAUCUGUAUCCAUUUCUUCAGAAGUGUGACUAUUAUUCAUAUAUCCCCAAUACACACAAAAUAUAUAGUUUUAACUAAAUUUUUAAUCUGUUACAUAUUUUUCUAGGUUACUAGCUAGAGACAUCCUGGUUGUUUCCAAUUUGUUGUAAACUGGAAAUUUGAUGCUAAACAAGUAGUGUUAUGACAAGCCUUCUUAUUCAUAACUUGACAUGCUUUUGCCAGUAUAUUUUAGAUGAAAUUUUGAGAUUAUGGUGGAGUCAAAUCAUAUGAACACUUUAAAUUUUGCUCCGUUAUUACCACAUUCCUGUGCAAAAGUGACACCAAUUUACAAUGCCAUAUUGUAUAGACGUGUUUCAUGGUACCUUAAAACAAUUACAAUGUUAAUAACAAAGAUAAGUAAUCACAGAGCACUAUGUCAGAUAUAAUACUAAUUUAAAAAGUUUGAAAUAUAAUGACAAUUAACAAAAUGUGACUAGGAGGCUCAAAGUGAGCACAUGCUGUUGGUAAAAUGAUGCUAACAGACUUGCUUAAUGUAGGGUUGCCACAAACAGAAGUAAAAAGUGCUUAUUUGCCGACAACCUUGCCAAAUAUUGACUCUAUAAAAUGGUUUAAAAUUAUUUAUAUUACAGAUACUUUGCUUUGCUAUUUCUAAUUCUCUUAUUUUGUAAACAGUGUUAUUUUAGCCACAUAUGUAUUUCUUUCGCUCUGGAUUUCUCAUUUCAUUUUAAUUUUGUGUGUAUGUCCUUGAUGGAUUCUUUGAAUUUUUGUUUUCAUUGCAUCUUUCUGUAUAAUUAUUCCUGGGAUAUUGUGUCAUUUUUAAAAAUUGCAUUUCGUAGGAUGGAUUCCUAAUACUUUCUUUGCAUGUGCUUUUAUGUUAUUUUAUUUCCUUGUCUUAUUACUAAAAAGUGAUUUUAUACUUGCCAUGAUUUUCAGGUUUCCCAGCUUAAGAUGGACAGUUCUUACACUUUGAUGUAGCAUGGGCAAAUUUGUCUCUACUUUUUCACAUCAAGCUAUAGUUUAAGCAUUGAGUUUUGAAAUGUGCCCACUUUUUCCCUAGCCUGAGUGUGUAGAGAAUAAGCAGAUGAGCUCAAUUGGUGUGCAAUUUAGGUAAAAGACCUGGACUCUUUCUCUUGCCUAAAAUUUUAUUAAGUAUCUAAUCCCAUAGCUUGCUCUCUUUCCAGGAGGCAGUUUUACUGCCGCCAGGGAAAUAGCCUUGCUUUCAAAUCUCUUCCUUAAUUCAGCGCAGAGCCACCAAGGCUUUGCUUGUAUCAAUGAGCCAUCUCAUGUACCUUCAUCCCCCAUUUCACCAGUCUUUUCCUGGCACUUUCUCCCUCUAUUCCUCACUCUAAGACUGAGUGGGGAAUCAAUAUUUGGCUGUAAAGGAGUAUAUGGUGUCUUACCUUGUGUGCUGAAACAAUGUAUUUACUCAAAGUGUUAUGGAUUUUCUUUUUUCUCUACAUUAUGCCAAGACAUAAAUUCUGAGAGUGUUUAUGAUGGUGCCUCUUUUCCCCUCUGCUUUCUUUCCAAGUUAGAGACAUCAAAAUAAUAAGCCUUAACCAUUUUCCUGUUUUUAAAAGAAAUAGUUAAUUUUUAUGGGAAUUAUUAGGUGUCUCCCGGGCUACUCAUGUAAAUCCUCAUUUUAUCUGUUUUUAAAUUGAGUUAUUCAUGAGAUGCUUUCUGCAUUUUGUUUUUUAGGAAAUUUUAGGAAACAAAGAUAAAUGUCAUAUGGUCUUUCAAAUGUCAUAUGGUCUCUCAAAUAUCAUAUGGUCUCACAUCCCCUCCAAACUAUUUUAAAUAUGGCCUGACUUUGGGAAUGAAGGCUUUACUUGGACAUGGAUAUGACUGUAGGCAUUUUCCUUUAUAUUCCUUUAUAACUUACUGUUAUGCAUCUACUAGCAGCUGUUAAGGUCACUCCAAAACUGACAUUCUCUCCCCAUGUUUGCUUCCACUAAAACCCAUCUGGUGAUGGAACUGUGCAUACCUUCAUCAAGUAUUUUGAAAACAAAACAAAACAAAAUAAGCAAAAACAAAGUAAACAAAAGACAGAUAUCUGAAUCAGACAGAAUUAGUUUUGGAUCCCAGUCUGUCACCAGUUACUUGUUUAAAAUGGAGCAGGUUACUUAACAACUCUGAGAAAUAUUUACUUAAAACACUCAAGUAUAAUAUGUAUUUUGCAGACAUUUUGUGAUAAGUAAAUGAGGUAUGUGUGCAUGUGUGGGCUUGUGUAUAAAAUAAACUCUCUUGAUUGGCCUAUAUAACUGUCUUUUUCAUUCAGGAUGAAUGGUGGGUAACUUUUUUACUCACUCAAGCUACAUCGUAUUCUAUUCAGAUUAAUCUAAUUUCUUAUCUGAAAUAGUUAAAAUAUGUGAUAUACUUUGACAAAUAUCAAGGUAAUAAACAUUUGAAAAAGGAAAAAAAAAAAAAAAAAAAAA